rnacentral:tRNA from 1 species
UAUAGCUUAGUGGCAGAGCACAUGCUUAGCAUGCAUAAGGCCCUGGGUUCAAUCCACAGUA